GUGGAUUAGAUACCCUAGUAGUCCACGCCGUAAACGAUGCUAACUCGUUUUUGGGCUUUAGGGUUCAGAGACUAAGCGAAAGUGAUAAGUUAGCCACCUGGGGAGUACGUUCGCAAGAAUGAAACUCAAAGGAAUUGACGGGGGCCCGCACAAGCGGUGGAUUAUGUGGUUUAAUUCGAUGAUACGCGAGGAACCUUACCAAGGCUUAAAUGGGAAUUGACCGGUUUAGAAAUAGACCUUCCUUCGGGCAAUUUUCAAGGUGCUGCAUGGCCGUCGUCAACU
rnacentral:rRNA from 1 species